rnacentral:rRNA from 1 species
CCUACGGGUGGCAGCAGUGGGGAAUAUUGCACAAUGGGGGAAACCCUGAUGCAGCGACGCCGCGUGAGCGAUGAAGUAUUUCGGUAUGUAAAGCUCUAUCAGCAGGGAAGAAAAUGACGGUACCUGACUAAGAAGCCCCUGCUAACUACGUGCCAGCAGCCGCGGGAAUAAGUAGGGGGCAAGCGUUAUCCGGAUUUACUGGGUGCAAAGGGAGCGUAGACGGCGGUGCAAGUCAGAUGUGAAAGCCUGGGGCUCAACCCCGGGACUGCAUUUGGAACUGUGCUGCUAGAGUGUCGGAGAGGCAGGCGGAAUGACUAGUGUAGCGGUGAAAUGCGUAGAUAUUAGGAGGAACACCAGUGGCGAAGGCGGCCUGCUGGACGAUGACUGACGUUGAGGCUCGAAAGCGUGGGGAGCAAACAGGAGUAGAUACCCGGGUAGUC